rnacentral:lncRNA from 1 species
AAGAGCUGACGGCUGUAGCGCCUGUAGUAACACCUUCAGGCCCAGCAACAAUGACUCCAGGGGCUGUUGGAACAGGGGCCGUCCGCCGGGACCUGCUGUGGGAGCCACGGCAGUGACGCUGGCGCCGUCCGUCGGCGGCGGCAUGGCUUGCCGGAUGCGCGUCGCCCAUUGGGCCAGAACCGCGUCCAACUGGGCAGCCUGGGCGUCCUCCCACAACGU